CCUACGGGAGGCAGCAGUGAGGAAUAUUGGUCAAUGGGCGAGAGCCUGAACCAGCCAAGUCGCGUGAGGGAAGACGGUCCUAUGGAUUGUAAACCUCUUUUGUCGGGGAGCAAAAAGGCCUCGUGAGGCCACAAGUGAGAGUACCCUAAGUAAAAGCAUCGGCUAACUCCGUGCCAGCAGUCGCGGUAAUACGGAGGAUGCGAGCGUUAUCCGGAUUUAUGGGGUGUAAAGGUUGCGUAGGCGGAAUGCCAAGUCAGCGGUAAAAUCGCGGGGCUCAACCUCGCUCCGCCGUUGAGACUGGCGUUCUUGAGUGGGCGAGAGGUGUGUGGAAUUCGUGGUGUAGCGGUGAAAUGCAUAGAUAUCACGAAGAACACCGAUUGCGAAGGCAGCAUACCGGCGCCCAACUGACGCUGAAGCACGAAAGCGUGGGUAUCGAACAGGAUUAGAUACCCCUGUAGUC
rnacentral:rRNA from 1 species